GUCGACGGCAGCACGGACUUCGGUCUGGUGGCGAGUGGCGAACGGGUGAUAAUGUAUCGGAACGUAUCCUUAAGUGGGGGAUAACGCAUCGAAAGAUGCGCUAAUACCGCAUAAUCUCUGAGGAGAAAAGCAGGGGAUCGCAAGACCUUGCGCUUUUGGAGCGGCCGAUGUCUGAUUAGCUAGUUGGUGAGGUAAAGGCUUACCAAGGCUUCGAUCAGUAGCUGGUCUGAGAGGACGACCAGCCACACUGGGACUGAGACACGGCCCAGACUCCUACGGGAGGCAGCAGUGGGGAAUUUUGGACAAUGGGGGAAACCCUGAUCCAGCCAUGCCGCGUGAGUGAAGAAGGCCUUCGGGUUGUAAAGCUCUUUCAGCCGGAACGAAAAGGUUACGGUUAAUACCCGUGACUAAUGACGGUACCGGAAGAAGAAGCACCGGCUAACUACGUGCCAGCAGCCGCGGUAAUACGUAGGGUGCGAGCGUUAAUCGGAAUUACUGGGCGUAAAGCGUGCGCAGCGGUUUUGUAAGUCAGAUGUGAAAUCCCCGGCUCAACCUGGGAACUGCGUUUGAAACUACAGCUAGAGUGUGCAAGGGGGUGGAUUCCACGUGUA
rnacentral:rRNA from 1 species